GUUUUCUAUAGAUACCAACAACGAGUAGGUUAUUUGUCAUGUGUGGAUCUUUUCAAAAUAUUUGAUGCUAUGGUUAAAUCUUUUCUUUGUUACGGUUCAGACGUUUGGGGUGUCAUUCAUUGUAAAACCAAUGAACAAAUCCAGAUAAAACAUGUUAAUAUUUCUGAAAAGUUGGCAAAAUACUUGUAACAAAAUAUGGUUCAUUGUGAAUAGUCAUAAGAAACA